UGAGGGAAAGUUGCAAAGAACUUUGAAGAGAGAGUUCAAGAGUACGUGAAACUGCUCAGGGGCAAACGGGUGGGCCCUCGAAGUCCAGCGCGGAGAGGGAUUCAGUUCCGGGCGUUCGGGGGGCACGUCGCCGACGGACGCUCUGGGUGAGCGCCGCGGCGGUCGGGCCGUCAUCCCCGGCGUCGGGGACGCACUUCUCUCUCCCGAGAGGACGCCGCAGCCUCUCGGGCUCUCGGCAGUGAGGUUCCGCAGCGGGGGUAGGUGGCGUGGACGUCGGCCUUGCGCCGGCGCCCCGUGUCUGGCCCCCUCGGAUCCCGGCGCGAGGCCCGAGAGAGGGAAGAAGGUCUCGCCGAGCGCGGGACCGGCCGUCGCCUCGCCCCACGAAAGUGCGGCGAGCGGUGCGCGCGUAUCAGGGACGCCGAGUGGCAUGCCGGACGUCACCGGGCGGUGGCGCCGGACUCGCGGUACCCGCUGGGUCGCGCGCGAGGCCGCGGGUGCGAACGACGGCUGGCGGCGAGUAGGUCGGUAACCCACCCGACCCGUCUUGAAACACGGACCAAGGAGUCUAACAUGUGCGCGAGUCAGUGGGACUCGAAAAAGCCCACGGGCGCAACGAAAGAGAUACUGUCGUGAUCCCCGUCGCUCGAUGGCGGGGCGCAGCGACGGCCUGGGUACCGUCCUCUCCUCCCUUCCGUCCGCGGUCGGGGGCGGGGGGAUCCCCGGAGCCAGAGCGUACACGUUGGGACCCGAAAGAUGGUGAACUAUGCCCGGGCAGGUCGAAGCCAGAGGAAACUCUGGUGGAGGACCGCAGCGGUUCUGACGUGCAAAUCGAUCGUCGAACCUAGG
rnacentral:rRNA from 1 species